rnacentral:rRNA from 1 species
CCAUUAGAGCGGACGAGACUCCAGCAGCAAACACGCAGCAAUACUAUCUUUUUUAUUAAGUCACUAAAAAUAUUACUAGAGUUUGCAUAUACGGUUGCUUACUCUCGGAACCUAUCUCUAUUAUUAUAUAAAAUUUAUAUUAUUUUUUGUUUUGCAAGUUGCUCAGUUGAAUGUGUGCCGCACAACAAGUUCUGCUAACGUCUCAGAAAGAAUUAAAACAAAGUGUGUUCCGAAGCGUCAGCAUAGACAGGAAAGUUUGAUAAUAAAUCGAAGCCCCUGAGCUAGCUGGCCCGGACACCUUAAAUCUUUCUAGCGAGCGCGUCUGUGCGUGCUACACUGAGUAGAGUAAGGCCGAGAAAUAUUGAAAAGCAGUUAUGUGAGCUAGUUUUAUAAAAAGAAGAGUGACAAUUUGUUGCACUCAGCGCCAAGUAACGAGCAGUUGUUGUUAGUGUUUUAAUAUUAAAACAAAUUUUCGUUACUUAAAAUAUUGCUCUGCGCGAUGGCGCCUGGCGAAUACGUGCUAUUAUAGCGCGCAACGCGGGUUAAUUUAGCCUCCGAGCAAGUUUUAAAUAUGGCGAUUAGAUUUGGAAGCUCUGUGUACCGCCGUGUUUUUACGAGUUGAGUUAUUUAAUUAUAACUAAAUAACUACGCAAAAUUCCGGCCACGCUAACAAAUCUAAAAAGUAAAGUUUGCUGCGACUGUUAAACGAAUCUGUUAACAGUUGCUUGCAAGUAAUUAAUUAGCGAGCAUUAUUCGUCAAACAAUAUGUAUUUUGCUGGGAGUCGGUCCGCACCAGGCCCUUACAUAGGC